rnacentral:rRNA from 1 species
UCAGUCGACUCCUACGGGGAGGCAGCAGUGGGGAAUAUUGCACAAUGGGGGGAAACCCUGAUGCAGCCAUGCCGCGUGUGUGAAGAAGGCCUUCGGGUUGUAAAGCACUUUCAGUAGGGAGGAAGGUAGUGUAGUUAACACCUGCAUUAUUUGACGUUACCUACAGAAGAAGCACCGGCUAACUCCGUGCCAGCAGCCGCGGUAAUACGGAGGGUGCGAGCGUUAAUCGGAAUUACUGGGCGUAAAGCGCAUGCAGGUGGCCUGUUAAGUCAGAUGUGAAAGCCCGGGGCUUAACCUCGGAAUUGCAUUUGAAACUGGCAGGCUAGAGUCUUGUAGAGGGGGGUAGGAAUUUCAGGUGUAGCGGUGAAAUGCGUAGAGAUCUGAAGGAAUACCAGUGGCGAAGGCGGCCCCCUGGACAAAGACUGACGCUCAGAUGCGAAAGCGUGGGGAGCAAACAGGAUUAGAUACCCUGGUAG